GAUGAAGAACGUAGCGAAAUGCGAUAAAUAAUGUGAAUUGCAGAAUUCAGUGAAUCAUCGAGUCUUUGAACGCACAUUGCGCCCCCUGGUAUUCCGGGGGGCAUGCCUGUCCGAGCGUCAUUGCUGCCCUCAAGCACGGCUUGUGUGUUGGGCCCCCGUCCCCCCCUCCCGGGGGACGGGCCCGAAAGGCAGCGGCGGCACCGCGUCCGGUCCUCGAGCGUAUGGGGCUUUGUCACCCGCUCUGUAGGCCCGGCCGGCGCCUGCCUACCACCAUCAAUCUUUUUUCAGGUUGACCUCGGAUCAGGUAGGGAUACCCGCUGAACUUAAGCAUAUCAAUAAGCGGAGGA
rnacentral:misc_RNA from 1 species